AUGGGUUUGUAGGGAAGUGUGGG
rnacentral:misc_RNA from 1 species